GUGUUCGCUUCAGCAGCCUAUAUACUGAAACUGGAAUCAUACAGAGAAGAUUAGCUUGGCCCUUGGACAGGGAUGACAUGCAAACUUGUGAAGUGUUCCAUAUAAAA
ensembl:snRNA U6 U6 spliceosomal RNA